rnacentral:rRNA from 1 species
AUGCGGCAUCAGGAGGUGUGGGUGCCGCUCUGGAACAAACUUCCCACCAUGGCCAUGGCGGUGGAGCUGAUCCACAGCAGGACAAGGCCCGGGGCAGGUGCCUGGUCGAGUGUCUCUCAGCGAGCACCCGUUGCGGGCGGAUCUGGCCUGUUGUUACCACGCCUGGCUGCUCUCUCUCUCUCUCUCUCAGCUCAUUCACGGACUAAGGUAGGAGAAAGAAGACACAGUGGACACGAAGAAAUUUUCCCGGCCGGCGCACGAACGCCGUGGGCGCACGAACACCCCAAUCUUUUUCUUUGUAUUGACAGACUACAUGCUCGGCAACUCCCUGGUUCCCUCACGGCGUCUACUAGCUGCUUAUAUAGCACACGACCACACAUCAGGGCCACCCACGCACUAACUAACUAG